CUACAGCUCCUCACUGGUUCCACAGACCUGCUUUGUCAGAGUGUCAGUAACUUUGUAGAAGUCACUGCAUCCUCUGCUGUGCUUGGGAUGAACUCUGGCACCUGUCUGAAUGUAGGUACAUCCCUCCUGCAGAUCUGCUUUUCUUAUCCAGACUUUGACCUGAGACCAGGGCCUGGAUGAUGUUUUGAGACUAGGCCUACCUUUUCUGGAUGAUCUGAUGGAUCCACAUUGUGAUGCACUAGGAUUAAAGCAUACCUGAGGUUCUAGUAAAAUUCUGCUCCUGAAUCAAGCUCAAACCUCAUUGCUGCUCCCUGCCUUCAGCUGGAAAUGGACAGACAACAUUUGUGACUGAAUAUCCUGAGUCACCGAUUCCCAGCUGGCAUGUGCACUGCAGUUCCAUCUCUUCCUUUCCGACUGCUCUCCCUAGAGGAGAUUUGGAACAACUGCAGUCGUCAGCUCCAGCGCGGUGUGUGUGCUUGCCGGGAUCCACACAAUUGGUGGAUAACCCCUGUCUACGUCUAUGGGGUCACCAGUGUUUGCCUGGGACAGUUCAUCCUGUUAGCAGGCACUGAUCCGGCUGUGGAGGAGAUAUGUGGCUUGUGCUGA
rnacentral:lncRNA from 1 species